CUUACCUUCAGAUGGACCAUUCAUAAGUGCUGUGAGGAGAGGGGUCCAGCUUGCAGGUAGCUGGUGCUGUUCCUGGUGUGGGGAGCAGGAGAGCUGUGCACUGUGAGCACAGGCUACUUCCUGUUCCCCUUAGAGUGCUUCCGGUGUUCACAGGCAGGGGGCAGCCGGGAUACCAAGGCAUGUCCCGGCUUCCCCUGCCUGCAGGAAGUUGAGUGCUCUGCUCGGGUGCUGGGGUUACAGCAUAGGUAAGUGCUGUAACCCCAGGCAAGUGGCUGCAGAGAGAGCCCAGCAGCUGAAUGGCUGCGCUGGGGGGUGGCUAAGAAGCCACUCGCCCAGCACACCAGCCCCAGGCAGCAGCAGGGCCGCCCACCAGGAAACCUCCCGGUGGGCGCCCCCCAGAGGCCGGCGCCCUAGGCGAGUGCCUUAUUCGCCUUAAUGGUAGCGCCGGCCCUGCCUGUGAGGUACGUACCGUCA